rnacentral:rRNA from 1 species
GUAGGCAACCUGCCCUUUAGCCUGGGAUAACUACCGGAAACGGUAGCUAAUACCGGAUACUUUCUUUUCCUGCAUGGGAGAAGAACGAAAGACGGAGCAAUCUGUCACUGAAGGAUGGGCCUGCGGCGCAUUAGCUAGUUGGUGGGGUAACGGCUCACCAAGGCGACGAUGCGUAGCCGACCUGAGAGGGUGAUCGGCCACACUGGGACUGAGACACGGCCCAGACUCCUACGGGAGGCAGCAGUAGGGAAUCUUCCGCAAUGGGCGAAAGCCUGACGGAGCAACGCCGCGUGAGUGAUGAAGGUUUUCGGAUCGUAAAGCUCUGUUGCCAGGGAAGAACGUCUUGGAGAGUAACUGCUCCGAGAGUGACGGUACCUGAGAAGAAAGCCCCGGCUAACUACGUGCCAGCAGCCGCGGUAAUACGUAGGGGGCAAGCGUUGUCCGGAAUUAUUGGGCGUAAAGCGCGCGCAGGCGGCCGUUUAAGUCCGGUGUUUAAUCCCGAAGCUCAACUUCGGGUCGCACUGGAAACUGGAGGGCUUGAGUGCAGAAGAGGAGAGUGGAAUUCCACGUGUAGCGGUGAAAUGCGUAGAGAUGUGGAGGAACACCAGUGGCGAAGGCGACUCUCUGGGCUGUAACUGAC